UACGUAGGCAGCGAGCGUUGUCCGGAAUCAUUGGGCGUAAAGAGCGUGUAGGCGGCCUGGUAAGUCCGCUGUGAAAGUCCAGGGCUCAACCCUGGAAUGCCGGUGGAAACUGUCAGGCUCGAGUCCGGAAGAGGCGAGUGGAAUUCCUGGUGUAGCGGUGAAAUGCGCAGAUAUCAGGAGGAACACCAAUGGCGAAGGCAGCUCGCUGGGACGGUACUGACGCUGAGACGCGAAAGCGUGGGGAGCAAACAGG
rnacentral:rRNA from 1 species